rnacentral:rRNA from 1 species
CCGUGGGGGAAGCGGCGAACGGGUGAGUAACACGUGGGCAACCCACCCUUGGUACCGGGAUAGCCCGGGGAAACCCGGAUUAAUACCGGAUGGCCCAACAGCUCUUCGGGGCGGUUGGGAAAGAUAGCUUCGGCCUUCGACCAAGGACGGGCCCGCGGCGGAUUAGCUUGUUGGUGAGGUAACGGCCCACCAAGGCGACGAUCCGUAGCUGGUCUGAGAGGACGAUCAGCCACACUGGGACUGAGACACGGCCCAG